rnacentral:rRNA from 1 species
UACGGAGGGUGCAAGCGUUAAUCGGAAUCACUGGGCGUAAAGCGCACGCAGGCGGUCUGUUAAGUCGGACGUGAAAUCCCCGGGCUCAACCCGGGAACUGCAGUCGAAACUGGCAGACUAGAGUAUUGUAGAGGGAGGUAGAAUUCCAGGUGUAGCGGUGAAAUGCGUAGAGAUCUGGAGGAAUACCGGUGGCGAAGGCGGCCCCCUGGACAAAGACUGACGCUCAGGGGCGAAAGCGUGGGGAGCAAACAGG